GCAGCCGCCGCGGUAAUACGGAGGGUGCAAGCGUUAAUCGGAAUUACUGGGCGUAAAGCGCACGCAGGCGGUCUGUCAAGUCAGAUGUGAAAUCCCCGGGCUUAACCUGGGAACUGCAUUUGAAACUGGCAGGCUAGAGUCUUGUAGAGGGGGGUAGAAUUCCAGGUGUAGCGGUGAAAUGCGUAGAGAUCUGGAGGAAUACCGGUGGCGAAGGCGGCCCCCUGGACAAAGACUGACGCUCAGGUGCGAAAGCGUGGGGAGCAAACAGGAUUAGAUACCCGUGUAGUCCCUGUCUCUUAUAC
rnacentral:rRNA from 1 species